UUCGGUGGUGGAUUAGUGGCGAACGGGUGAGUAACACGUGGGCAAUCUGCCCUUCACUCUGGGACAAGCCCUGGAAACGGGGUCUAAUACCGGAUAACACUCUGUCCCGCAUGGGACGGGGUUGAAAGCUCCGGCGGUGAAGGAUGAGCCCGCGGCCUAUCAGCUUGUUGGUGGGGUAAUGGCCUACCAAGGCGACGACGGGUAGCCGGCCUGAGAGGGCGACCGGCCACACUGGGACUGAGACACGGCCCAGACUCCUACGGGAGGCAGCAGUGGGGAAUAUUGCACAAUGGGCGAAAGCCUGAUGCAGCGACGCCGCGUGAGGGAUGACGGCCUUCGGGUUGUAAACCUCUUUCAGCAGGGAAGAAGCGAAAGUGACGGUACCUGCAGAAGAAGCGCCGGCUAACUACGUGCCAGCAGCCGCGGUAAUACGUAGGGCGCAAGCGUUGUCCGGAAUUAUUGGGCGUAAAGAGCUCGUAGGCGGCUUGUCACGUCGGAUGUGAAAGCCCGGGGCUUAACCCCGGGUCUGCAUUCGAUACGGGCUAGCUAGAGUGUGGUAGGGGAGAUCGGAAUUCCUGGUGUAGCGGUGAAAUGCGCAGAUAUCACGAGGAACACCGGUGGCGAAAGGCGGAUCUCUGGGCCAUUACUGACGCUGAGGAGCGAAAAGCGUGGGGAGCGAACAGGAUUAGAUACCCUGGUAGUCCAACGCCGUAAACGUUGGGAACUAGGUGUUGGCGA
rnacentral:rRNA from 1 species